rnacentral:rRNA from 1 species
GAUAAACGCUAGCGGCAGGCCUAACACAUGCAAGUCGAACGGUAACAGGUGUAGCAAUACAUGCUGACGAGUGGCGUACGGGUGCGUAACGCGUAUGCAACUUACCUCUAACUGGGAAAUAGCCUCGAGAAAUCGAGAUUAAUGUCCCAUAAUAUUACAGAUCCGCAUGUUUUUGUAAUUAAAGCUCCGACGGUUAGAGAUAGGCAUGCGUGACAUUAGUUAGUUGGUGAGGUAACGGCUCACCAAGACUUCGAUGUCUAGGGGGUCUGAGAGGAUGAUCCCCCACACUGGUACUGAGACACGGACCAGACUCCUACGGGAGGCAGCAGUGAGGAAUAUUGGUCAAUGGACGCAAGUCUGAACCAGCCAUGCAGCGUGCAGGAUGACGGCCCUAUGGGUUGUAGACUGCUUUUAUACAGGAAUAAAGUUAGCCACGUGUGGUUAUUUGUAGGUACUGUAUGAAUAAGGACCGGCUAAUUCCGUGCCAGCAGCCGCCGUAAUAC